rnacentral:rRNA from 1 species
UGGGGAAUUUUGGACAAUGGGCGCGAGCCUGAUCCAGCCAUGCCGCGUGUCUGAAGAAGGCCUUCGGGUUGUAAAGGACUUUUGUCAGGGAAGAAAAGGCUGUUGCUAAUAUCAGCGGCUGAUGACGGUACCUGAAGAAUAAGCACCGGCUAACUACGUGCCAGCAGCCGCGGUAAUACGUAGGGUGCAAGCGUUAAUCGGAAUUACUGGGCGUAAAGCGAGCGCAGACGGUUACUUAAGCAGGAUGUGAAAUCCCCGGGCUCAACCUGGGAACUGCGUUCUGAACUGGGUGACUAGAGUGUGUCAGAGGGAGGUAGAAUUCCACGUGUAGCAGUGAAAUGCGUAGAGAUGUGGAGGAAUACCGAUGGCGAAGGCAGCCUCCUGGGAUAACACUGACGUUCAUGCUCGAAAGCGUGGGUAGCAAACAGGAUUAGAUACCCUGGUAGUCCACGCCCUAAACGAUGUCAAUUAGCUGUUGGGCAACUUGAUUGUUCAGUAGCGUAGCUAACGCGUGAAAUUGACCGCCUGGGGAGUACGGUCGCAAGAUUA